GACGAACCGUCCAAACGUUAUUCGGAAUCACUGGGCUUAAAGGGUGCGUAGGCGGCCUGAAAAGUUGGGUGUGAAAUCCCUCGGCUCAACCGAGGAACUGCGCCCAAAACUAUCAGGCUUGAGGAAGGCAGAGGUGAGCGGAACUUAGGGUGGAGCGGUGAAAUGCGUUGAUAUCCUAAGGAACACCAGUAGCGAAAGCGGCUCACUGGGCCUUUUCUGACGCUGAGGCACGAAAGCUAGGGGAGCGAACGGGAUUAGAUACCCUCGUA
rnacentral:rRNA from 1 species